GAUGAACGCUGGCGGCGUGCUUAACACAUGCAAGUCGAACGAAGCACUUUAUUUGAUUUCCUUCGGGACUGAAUAUUUUGUGACUGAGUGGCGGACGGGUGAGUAACGCGUGGGUAACCUGCCUUGUACAGGGGGAUAACAGUUGGAAACGGCUGCUAAUACCGCAUAAGCGCACAGCAUCGCAUGAUGCAGUGUGAAAAACUCCGGUGGUAUAAGAUGGACCCGCGUUGGAUUAGCUAGUUGGUGAGGUAACGGCCCACCAAGGCGACGAUCCAUAGCCGACCUGAGAGUGUGACCGGCCACAUUGGGACUGAGACACGGCCCAAACUCCUACGGGAGGCAGCAGUGGGGAAUAUUGCACAAUGGGCGAAAGCCUGAUGCAGCGACGCCGCGUGAGCGAAGAAGUAUUUCGGUAUGUAAAGCUCUAUCAGCAGGGAAGAUAAUGACGGUACCUGACUAAGAAGCACCGGCUAAAUACGUG
rnacentral:rRNA from 1 species